rnacentral:rRNA from 1 species
AAAGACUUAGUCCUAACCUUACCGUUAAUUUUUGCUAAAUAUAUACAUGCAAGUAUCUGCGACCCAGUGUAAAUGCCCAUGACCCCUUACUAAGAAAAAAGGAGCGGGUAUCAGGCACACUUAAAUUGUAGCCCAAGACGCCUUGCUUAGCCACACCCCCACGGGUACACAGCAGUAAUUAACAUUAAGCAAUAAGUGAAAACUUGACUUAGUUAUAGCAACUUAAGGGUUGGUAAAUCUUGUGCCAGCCACCGCGGUCAUACAAGAAGCCCAAAUUAACUGUACACGGCGUAAAGAGUGGUAUCAUGCUAUCGUAAUAUCUAAGACCAAGGUGCAACUAAGCUGUCAUAAGCUCAAGAUGCAUUCAAGCUCUCCUUAACUAAAAACGAUCUUAGUAUCGAGAUAUAUUUAAUUCCACGAAAGCUAGGGCUCAAACUGGGAUUAGAUACCCCACUAUGCUUAGCCAUAAAUCUUGAUGUCUUCCACAUACUUAGACAUCCGCCAGAGAACUACGAGCACAAACGCUUAAAACUCUAAGGACUUGGCGGUGCCCCAAACCCACCUAGAGGAGCCUGUUCUAUAAUCGAUAACCCACGUUACACCCGGCCACUCCUUGCCAAAAGCAGCCUACAUACCGCCGUCGCCAGCUCACCUCCAAUGAGAGCUAUACAGUGAGCACAAUAGUCCACAACCCGCUAACAAGACAGGUCGAGGUAUAGCUAAUGGAGUGGAAGAAAUGGGCUACAUUUUCUAACAAUAGAUAACCAUACGGACGGGGGCAUGAAACCGGCCCCCCGAAGGCGGAUUUAGCAGUAAAGCUGGACAAUACAAGCCUACUUUAAACUGGCCCUGGGGCACGUACAUACCGCCCGUCACCCUCCUCACAGGCUACAAUCAUCAUAAUACAUAAUACGAAUUAGAGCUGAAGACGAGGUAAGUCGUAACAAGGUAAGUGUACCGGAAGGUGCACUUAGCAUAC